rnacentral:rRNA from 1 species
GAUGAACGCUGGCGGCGUGCUUAACACAUGCAAGUCGAACGAAGCAACUUAUCACGAUUCCUUCGGGAUGACGAUUUGUUGACUGAGUGGCGGACGGGUGAGUAACGCGUGGGUAACCUGCCUUAUACAGGGGGAUAGCAGCUGGAAACGGCUGAUAAUACCGCAUAAGCGCACAGUAUCGCAUGAUACAGUGUGAAAAACUCCGGUGGUAUAAGAUGGACCCGCGUCUGAUUAGCUAGUUGGUGGGGCAACGGCCUACCAAGGCGACGAUCAGUAGCCGACCUGAGAGGGUGACCGGCCACAUUGGGACUGAGACACGGCCCAGACUCCUACGGGAGGCAGCAGUGGGGAAUAUUGCACAAUGGAGGAAACUCUGAUGCAGCGACGCCGCGUGAGCGAAGAAGUAUUUCGGUAUGUAAAGCUCUAUCAGCAGGAAGAUAAUGACGUAC